rnacentral:rRNA from 1 species
GAAGAGAUUACUCAUGAGCUUGAUGGUGAUGGUAGUCAAAAGAAAGGUGGAAGAAAAAUUACUCGAAAGGCUAACAUAUAUGCAAGGCUCAAUCAACCCAAAAUCCAUAUUCCACUUAAUGGGGAUGGCCAGCCUGUUGGGCCAGAUGCAACCGAAUUUGCCAAUUUCAUUGGUACUUUGGUGAGGAAGCAUAUACCACCUGCAGAGUUAGAUUGGCGAGAUGUUGAUGUAGAGAAAAAGUUGUUAGUGUGGGAGACAUUGAAGGCAUUUUAUGAGCUGGACUCAACUGCUUUGAGCUUUGUUAUCAACACUUCACACAUAAAAUGGAAGGAUUGGAAGUCAGAUUUAAAGAGGUACAAGUUUGAUGCUGCACUCACUGAUGCACAACUUAUGAAAAGACGUGACAGCAGAAUUAGUGAAGCUGACUGGAAGACCCUUAUUACUUAUUGGAGAUCUUCGGCAUUUGAAGUA